GAGCGGAUGAAAGGAGCUUGCUCCUGGAUUCAGCGGCGGACGGGUGAGUAAUGCCUAGGAAUCUGCCUGGUAGUGGGGGACAACGUUUCGAAAGGAACGCUAAUACCGCAUACGUCCUACGGGAGAAAGCAGGGGACCCUCGGGCCUUGCGCUAUCAGAUGAGCCUAGGUCGGAUUAGCUAGUUGGUGAGGUAAUGGCUCACCAAGGCGACGAUCCGUAACUGGUCUGAGAGGAUGAUCAGUCACACUGGAACUGAGACACGGUCCAGACUCCUACGGGAGGCAGCAGUGGGGAAUAUUGGACAAUGGGCGAAAGCCUGAUCCAGCCAUGCCGCGUGUGUGAAGAAGGUCUUCGGAUUGUAAAGCACUUUAAGUUGGGAGGAAGGGUUGUAGAUUAAUACUCUGCAAUUUUGACGUUACCGACAGAAUAAGCACCGGCUAACUCUGUG
rnacentral:rRNA from 1 species